rnacentral:rRNA from 1 species
AUCUACGGCCAUAGGACUCUGAAAGGACCGCAUCCCGUCUGAUCUGCGCAGUUAACCAGAGUGCCGCCUAGUUAGUACCACGG